rnacentral:rRNA from 1 species
GUCACGCCCUAACGAUGUCAACUAGGUGUUGGGAGGGUAAAACCUUUUAAGUACCGGAGCUAACGCGUGAAGUUGACCGCCUGGGGAGUACGGCCGCAAGGUUAAAACUACAAAGGAAUUGACGGGGACCCGGCACAAGCGGUGGAUGAUGUGGAUUAAUUCGAUGCAACGCGAAAAACAUUACCUACCCUUGACAUGUCAGGAACUUGCCAGAGAUGGCUUGGUGCUCGAAAGAGAACCUGAACACAGGUGCUGCAUGGCUGUCGU